ACCAGGCAAGGGCAGAUCCGCGAAAAUUGAGCUGAGAGGAGGGGCGGUGUAGGAUGAUAGAAUGGUUGACUGUCGAAGGCAGCAGGGAGGUCGAGGAGGACAAGGAGGCAGAGAGGGAAUCUCAGGAAUUGUCUUAAAAGAGUGAGGAAAGUGGGUGGCAGGACAAUUAAUUUAAUAGCUAAGAAAGGGCCAAUCUGUUAAUGCAAAGGAUUCAUACCAUUUAGAAAGUGACGGGCUGGCGUCUGUCAUGAUCUUCAAAUUAAACAGAAAUGGAUUGUAGGAAUGCACUCACUUGUAAUUAAGGGCAGGCAAUUUAUAGUGAAUCCAUGAAAUGAGUUCAUAGGUUGAAGUCUUUCCAUGAGCCUGUCAAUUACAUCUUUGUUACUAUUCCUUUUCUGUUAUUGUCAUGCAAUUUUAAUGUGUUUUAUGUUGAGGAAAUAUAGAUUCAUAUUUUGCAUAAAAUUUGUUUCUAAGUUUUGGACUUGUACUGAAGAUCACAGAUGUGGCGGGAGGAGAGAAGCAGCUCACUGGAGACUGGAGCAGGGCUGUUGUUCGGUCGAUUAUCAGAAUACAACACAGGAUUGCCAUCUUUUGCCAAAUCCAAAACUGAACAAGGGACACGGGAUGGGUGCACAGCUUGUGAUCUGGAGUUGCCUUUUCCCAAGCAUUCAAACUCAUUGGAACUAAUUAAUAACUAAUAUACAGAAAUUCCUCCAACAGUCUCCCGGCUGGAAUUUUUAUUAUCUGGAGACCUAUCAAGUUAAAACAACAUGCUCUGGCGUCUGUUCUUCCCAUGGGCUGAUAGGGGCACAAGCACAAUAUCACAGUUACUGUCAUGCUUCAGAUGGUACACGCUGCAGGGACUACAAGGGUAUGAGGGGGGAAAAGACAUUGGAGAAAAACACUGAACCAAAGUAACAAUGAAGAACGAGCAGUGUUAACCCCUUACCGAAGCAUAGAUACACCCAAAUCCCCAAUGUGAACACGCAGCGAGAUUGAAAAGGCGCUUGACAGAAAAAACAUACUGCGAAAAAGUGGUAUGAUUGGAACUUCGACACUGGAAAAAACACCUCGGGACAUAAAGUGUGACUCCUGCAAGGAACCCCCAUGUGCAAGACAUUGACCAACGGGAGCUCAGUAUGCAGAAUUUAUCAGGAGAGAAAAUAAACCCAUUUGAAAUGGCCAGGGGGCAGUAUUCGUGCAAAGGCUUCAUUUAAACAACAAAUUGCACUUGUAAUAGCGCCCUUCACAUCAGAAAGA